rnacentral:rRNA from 1 species
UACAGAGGUCUCAAGCGUUGUUCGGAUUCAUUGGGCGUAAAGGGUGCGUAGGCGGCGCGGUAAGUCGGGUGUGAAAUUUCGAGGCUUAACUUCGAAACUGCAUUCGAUACUGCCGUGCUAGAGGACUGGAGAGGAGACUGGAAUUUACGGUGUAGCGGUGAAAUGCGUAGAUAUCGUAAGGAAGACCAGUGGCGAAGGCGGGUCUCUGGACAGUUCCUGACGCUGAGGCACGAAGGCCAGGGAGCAAACGGG